GAAGUAGCGCAGGGUCGGCUUCGGGGCGCGCAAAGCGGUGAGGAAGACCUUUGAAGCUCUGGGAUGGAUCUGAAGCCAGACGUACGGCCAAGUGCAGGCCGAUGCCCGAGGAACAGCCGGUGAUGAGCACCACGGUGCGGGCCAUGGUGAGACUGUGGGGAGAGGCUGGGGCUCUGGGCUUGAUAUCACCUGCUUCGCCCCGCCCCGCCUGCGGGCCCCCACCCCUUGUUGUGUCUCCCACGCAAUCUCAAGGAUAAGCCUUCCUGCGGGUCCCUGGCCCGCUCUCCCCACCCUGUUCUGAGCCAAAACAGACAUGAGCCCACUGCUUGGAACAACAAACUGUCCUGGUUGCUGGUCAGAGGGAGGGGAGGCUUUACAAGCAGGUGUGGGUUCCCACGUGGGCACAGAGUGGCCCCCUGGGCAGAUUCCCCUGGGUAUGCCUCUGUGCCACAGGAGCGAUUAUAGUGACCGCAGUUUGCUGCAGAGGCUGUGAAAGUAAAGGCGUUGGGAGGUGGGAGAUGAUUGUAUAUGUGCUGGUUUCGUCCAGGGUUCCUAGCUCAUAACUCACAUGACCAUGGUUACAGUCUUACGUUGUCAUGUUGGGGUGCCUCAGGCCUCAAAAAACAGCCUUUCGUCUCUCUG
rnacentral:lncRNA from 10 species